GCGAGUAAUGUCGGGAACUCCAGGGAGACUGCCGGUGAUAAACCGGAGGAAGGUGGGGACGACGUCAAGUCAUCAUGGCCCUUACGAGUAGGGCUACACACGUGCUACAAUGGCGCAUACAGAGGGCAGCCAACUUGCGAAAGUGAGCGAUCCCAAAAAAGUGCGUCGUAGUCCGGAUUGGAGUCUGCAACUCGACUCCAUGAAGUCGGAAUCGCUAGUAAUCGUGGAUCAGAAUGCCACGGUGAAUACGUUCCCGGGCCUUGUACACACCGCCCGUCACAC
rnacentral:rRNA from 1 species